GAUGAACGCUGGCGGCGUGCCUAAUACAUGCAAGUCGAGCGAACAGACGAGGAGCUUGCUCCUCUGACGUUAGCGGCGGACGGGUGAGUAACACGUGGAUAACCUACCUAUAAGACUGGGAUAACUUCGGGAAACCGGAGCUAAUACCGGAUAAUAUAUUGAACCGCAUGGUUCAAUAGUGAAAGACGGUUUUGCUGUCACUUAUAGAUGGAUCCGCGCCGCAUUAGCUAGUUGGUAAGGUAACGGCUUACCAAGGCAACGAUGCGUAGCCGACCUGAGAGGGUGAUCGGCCACACUGGAGCUGAGACACGGUCCAGACUCCAACGGGAGGCGGCAGUAGGGAAUCUUCCGGGAUGGGCGGAAGCCUGACGGGGCAACGGCGCGUGAGUGAUGAAGGUCUUCGGAUCGUAAAACUCUGUUAUUAGGGAAGAACAAAUGUGUAAGUAACUAUGCACGUCUUGACGGUACCUAAUCAGAAAGCCACGGCUAACUACGUG
rnacentral:rRNA from 1 species